rnacentral:sRNA from 1 species
AAAAACCAAAAAACAAA